AUACUCUCCUCUGCAAGUUCUUAUUGAUCACCAGUUUCAAAAUCUGCCUCCCAAGCCAAAACAAGUAGAUGGUUAGGAUGGUGGCAAAAAAGCCGAGGAGUAUAGUACUCAGUAAAGGGUAAGUACAGAGAGCAAUGUCCGGAGCACCUUUCGAACUAGAUGCAGUAACAAUGGUGGCUGCACUAGUAAAAUAUUUCGGCAGUUUUUGACCGUAUCUGUUAUCGUUGUUUAGCCGGGGUCCAAUAAGUAUAACAACUAUCUGAAGAACAAACACUGGGAAGCAGUAGAGAAAAAUAUAUCCUGCUGUUUUCCUGUUCCAUUUCCGGCUGAGAAUUCCUGACUCCAUAUUCUGAAGGGGCCCUCGAAGAAGAAACAAGAGCGUGAGGAAUAGGCAAGGUUCUGCAAAACCAAGGUUUGAAACAAUGUAACAUUUGCAUACAGUUUCCUGCCAUUUCAAGUCAUGCAACAAUCCUCCCUCCCCUCGCAAGAAACUUAGCCGACUAAUUUCACCAACACCCCACCAGAUCACAAACAAUAUGAAUGUAAUUCGAAUUAUCCAAGGACCACUGAAGUAACUGAGCUGAAUGCAACCUUCACUAUGAAUGCGAGACCGGAAGUAGCACGAGUAAAUGAUGCAGAAUAAACCAAG
rnacentral:misc_RNA from 1 species